rnacentral:rRNA from 1 species
CUGGCGGCGUGCCUAACACAUGCAAGUCGAGCGGGGACGAUACGACGGAGUCAAAGUUUCGGAGUGGAGACGAAGAUGUAUGUUCUAGCGGCGGACGGGUGAGUAACGCGUGAGCAACCUGUCCCUUACAGGGGGAUAACACAGCGAAAGUUGUACUAAUACCGCAUAAGACCACGGAAGGACAUCCUUCAGGGGUCAAAGGAGCAAUCCGGUAAGGGGUGGGCUCGCGUCCGAUUAGAUAGUUGGUGAGGUAACGGCCCACCAAGUCCGACGACCGGUAGCCGACCUGAGAGGGUGAUCGGCCACAUUGGGACUGAGACACGGCCCAAACUCCUACGGGAGGCAGCAGUGGGGAAUAUUGGGCAAUGGGGGGAAACCCUGACCCAGCAACGCCGCGUGAGGGAAGAAGGUUUUCGGAUCGUAAACCUCUGUCCUUGGUGAAGAGGAAGAGACGGUAGCCAAGGAGGAAGCCCCGGCUAACUACGUGCCAGCAGCGGC